rnacentral:lncRNA from 1 species
AGCUGGUUCCCAGGCAGCUGCCGCGGAGCCGUCAGGGGCUGAGUGGACUGGAGGAGGAGUUUCCUGUGCCUUGCAGUUGCUUGCAGUCGGUGGAAGAUGAAUGUUAGGCUUCCUUAGUGCCCCCUGGGGUCGCUGAGGGACUCUUGGCAAGGUGUUGUCCUAUAGACUACAGGGAGCUUUUUCAUUACCAGCCUGGUGUUUCUUGGAUGAUGGAUUUUCCCAUAAUUCAGAGUCCAUGGGACUGACCACCUGAAACCCCCGUGACCAUCCAGCCAGAGGAAGGAGUCUGCUAAUUCUCAGAUGGAUCGUCACCCUGCUGGCUGUGAAGGUCUGCCUGUGCCUACCUAGGUAAUGGGGGAAAGGAGAUUGAGAAGGUCAAGGCAAGAACCUGUGUGGUAAAGACCAGAUAGAACUGGGUCUUGGGAGCUUGAGACCCUCCCAGCUUUCUCAGCUGGACAAGGUCACUCUGUUCUGGGUUAGAUUUCCUCUUUAAAAAACAAGGAGGGUAACUGAGGUUGUCUACAGACUCUUCCAGUUCUUGUGUGUGUGUGUGUGUGUGUGUGUGUGUGUGUGUGUAUGUGUUUACAUAUUGAUGUGUGUGGUGUGUGUGCAGGUGUUUAUAUGUGAGUUUUUUG